rnacentral:tRNA from 1 species
GAGGGGAUAGCUCAGUGGUAGAGCACAUGCUUAGCAUGCAUGAGGUCCUAGGCUCAAACCCCAGUACCUCCA